GCCGGCACAUUGUUUCUUCCUUUGGAUUAACCAAUUGCUUUUAAAUUCGUACUCGGUUGUCUUUUCAUCUUCUUUAGAUCCUAACCAGAUUUGUUAGCAUUCAAAUCCGUACUUUUCCCACGCAUUCAAUACCCAGACAUUGUGCGUCUAUGAUUUUCCCAAUUUUCGGGAUUUGCGAAAAAAGCCCAAUGCCUAGUUCUCUUCAUAAGCUCUAUACUGUAAUAAUCAUACCUUUGCUAAUUGGGAUUCGGUACCUUCUAGCUUUGUAUUAUUUUUACUAUUGUUUACCACCCAUGUAGACAAUCACAUAUUAGAAAUUAGUUUAACAAUUCCAAAAAAAAAGAACACUCGUCGCUUAUGUUCACUG